rnacentral:pre_miRNA from 1 species
UCUUAUGGGUAAGUACAGAAAGUGGUUUCUUGAGAUAGAAUCUACAACUGGUGAAGAUGCUGUGAA